UCACUAAACACUUGGCUGGAUCGUUGUUCAUGACCGCGAUUGGAGUUAACGAUUACGCUUUCUACUUUAAAGAGACAACCGAUCCAAAUGAAUUCGCAGAAAAACUUCUUCAUGAUUUCUUGAUGCAAAUUAAGGUAAAAUAAAAUGAUGUUUGAAUUUUCGCCAAUUUUUCAUUGGCCUCUACGUUAACUAAUGGUAAUAUUGUUUGAUUGAGAUAGACCGAACCAAACAUAUUAGCUUAACAGUGAACCGGAUGAGACUUAAACUUACAAACUUUUGAAAAACUGAAACCAAAAAUAUUUUAAAUGCUAAUAGAUAAUAUGUUUUUUUAAAAUAUUGUUUCAAGAAGAUAUAUUCUUUUGCAUUUUCUAUCCAUUUUUAAUAAAUAAUAAUGAUAGACUGUGAGUUAUAAAAUAAUUAUAUUUAUUAAAUUUUUGUUAAUUUAAAAAUAGAGAAAAUAGAUAAUCACAGAAUAUAAUUAAUAAAGUUAUAAUUAAAUUUUAGUAUGUGUGAAAACUUUAAAAUGUAGAUUUUUGAUAUAGGAGUUUUUUAUAGGAGUAUAGUUUAUAAAAUAAAAAUAUAUAAAUCGAAUUAAUAAUCUUAUAUAUAUAUAUAUAUAUAUAUAUAUAUAUUAGUCUGAGUUUAGGCUCAAAUACUUUUUUCAGGGUUAAUCGAGAUGCAUUAUACAAAAUAUUCUGAUUUUGUUUUGCAGAGAUUGCAUGAGUUAGGAGCAAGGAAGUUCUUCAUAAACAAUCUUAAACCAUUAGGAUGUUACCCAAAUUACAUAGUAGCUAACACCGUACCACGUGGAAGCUGCAGCAAGUAUUUAAACCAAGGGGUUGCCAAAUACAACGCCAAGCUAAGGAAAAGCCUG
rnacentral:lncRNA from 1 species